AAUUUGUCUAUAUCAUAGGCAAAUUUUUUUUAUAUAAUGCGACUAUUUUUUUAAAAAUAGCGGUGGCAAGUCCGCAUAAACGCAGAGCCUUUA
rnacentral:ribozyme from 1 species